AUUGAACGCUGGCGGAAUGCUUUACACAUGCAAGUCGAACGGCAGCACGGGGGCAGCCCUGGUGGCGAGUGGCGAACGGGUGAGUAAUACAUCGGAACGUGCCCGGUCGUGGGGGAUAACGUAGCGAAAGUUACGCUAAUACCGCAUACGAUCUGAGGAUGAAAGCGGGGGACCUUCGGGCCUCGCGCGAUCGGAGCGGCCGAUGUCAGAUUAGGUAGUUGGUGGGGUAAAGGCCUACCAAGCCGACGAUCUGUAGCUGGUCUGAGAGGACGACCAGCCACACUGGGACUGAGACACGGCCCAGACUCCUACGGGAGGCAGCAGUGGGGAAUUUUGGACAAUGGGCGCAAGCCUGAUCCAGCCAUCCCGCGUGCAGGACGAAGGCCUUCGGGUUGUAAACUGCUUUUGUACGGAACGAAAAGGCUCUGGCUAAUACCUGGGGCUCAUGACGGUACCGUAAGAAUAAGCACCGGCUAACUACGUG
rnacentral:rRNA from 1 species